UUAUCAUAAAUAGUAUAAAGGUGAAAUCCAAAUCAUGAUGAUCGCAUAGUUUUUGCGGUCUUGCUUUCUCCACCUUUUGAUUCAAUUUUCUUUUUUUUUCGUCAUCAAAUUUUUAGACGGUAGAGUCACAUGCUAAUAACAUGUUAUAAAAUAAAGAUAAAAUAUCAAAAUCAAACUUCAAACAAAGGAAAGAACUAGAGAGAAUUUAGU
rnacentral:lncRNA from 1 species